UUUCCAGUUGAUGAGAAAUCCCACAUCCACUGGAAGGAAUCUGUUCCAGUUGAUGAGGCAUUCCUCAUCCACUGAAAGGAAUCCUUUCCAGUUGAUGAGGCAUUCCUCAUCAACUGGAAG
rnacentral:miRNA from 1 species